CCUGGGCACAGAGGCACAUGCCUGUAAUCCCAGCAACUUGGGAGGCUGAGACAGGAGGCUCACAAGUUAGAGGCCUGCCAGGAUAACUUAGUGAGACUCUCAGCAACUUGGUGAGACCUUGUCUCAA
rnacentral:sRNA from 1 species